AUCCAUUGGCGUGAUAUAACGACUGUUGUUUUACUGUUUCCACCUGUCUUGUCGUUUUUUUUUGUAUAUUUUCGACCUUCAUUUAUUAGUGUGGCGGAAGAUGGGAGACGUAUUCAUUCUGUUUUUUUGCCCAUUUAGUAGUAAACAAAGAACAUUCAAAGAAAUAUCAAACCAUUUACAACUCCCAUAGACC